rnacentral:rRNA from 1 species
UACGUAGGGGCCUAGCGUUGUCCGGAUUUAUUGGGCGUAAAGAGCUCGUAGGCGGUUCGGCAAGUCGGAUGUGAAAUCUCCACGCUCAACGUGGAGGGGCCAUUCGAAACUGCCGUGACUCGAGUCCGGUAGGGGAGUGUGGAAUUCCCGGUGUGAGCGGUGAAAUGCGCAGAUAUCGGGAGGAACACCAGUAGCGAAGGCGGCACUCUGGGCCGGUACUGACGCUGAGGAGCGAAAGCG